AAUUACGUGAGUCAUUGAAUCUUUGAACGCACUAUUGCGCCCUUUGGUAUUCCGAAGGGCAUGCCUGUUCGAGCGUCAUUAUCAACCCUCAAGCCUGGCUUGCCAUUGGACUCUGUCGCGGUCCUGCGACAGGCCUCAAAGAUAACGACGGCGUCUGUCCGACCCUCGAUGCAACGAGCCUUUUAUGGCACGCAUGGAAGUGGUCUGGUCGGCCCGGUCUGAACCAUUAUUUUUCACGGUUGACCUCGGAUCAGGUAGGAGUACCCGCUGAACUUAAGCAUAUCAAUAAGCGGAGGGAGA
rnacentral:rRNA from 1 species